AAUAACGCAAUUCUUAAAUAUGUAUUGUAGUGGAAACAAAUGCUAGCAAUGCAUCAGUAAGGAAACGACCAAAAGUAGACAAAAUACCUACUACGUCUAAGAGAAAAAAAUUUGACAGUACAGCACCCUCCAUGGAAAUUACCUCUACUAUUAAAGAAUCAAUCAACAUUCCCCAGGCUGCUGAAGAAGCAAUUUUUGAUCCACUUCCAGAUUCAAUCAAGGAAAAUCUUGCUGUUGUCAUGGAAGAUACGACAGUUGCAUCACCUUCUAUGGAAGCUACCUCUACUAUUCAAGAAUCAAUGGACACUCACCAGGCUGCUGAAGAAGCAAUUUUUGAUCCACUUCCUGAUGUAAUGAACGAAAAUGUUGCUGUUGUCAUUGAAGAUUCGACAGUUACAUCACCUUCUAUGGAAGCAAGCUCUACUAAUUUCAAGUCUAAUUUUGUGACAUUUCAGUCACUAGUAACUUCAUCAAUGGUACCAAAGAAUUGGACAUGGUAUUUUGAUCAAAUUAAACAAACGAUUUUUUGCAUUUCGAUGGAUCAACUACCAAAUGAAAAUUAUAAUGUGAAAAGUGUACAUUUUCAAAACAAGAAGUAGUGUAUUAUGUCAACGGAACAAUAAACAAUUUACACAACCAAA